GGAUUCGUGGUGCAAUGGUAGCGCGUUUGACUCCAUAUCAGAAGGUUACAUGUUCUAUUCACGUCUGGUUCA
rnacentral:tRNA from 1 species